UACUCCUACGGGAGGCAGCAGUAAGGAAUAUUGGGCAAUGGUCGAAAGACUGACCCAGCCAUGCCGCGUGCAGGAUGAAGGCCCUAUGGGUUGUAAACUGCUUUUAGCCGGGAAUAAACACCCGUUUUAUAACGGGCCCGAAGGUACCGGCUGAAUAAGCAUCGGCUAACUCCGUGCCAGCAGCCGCGGUAAUACGGAGGAUGCAAGCGUUAUCCGGAUUCACUGGGUUUAAAGGGUGCGCAGGCGGACAUUUAAGUCAGGGGUGAAAUCCUACAGCUUAACUGUAGAACUGCCCUUGAUACUGAAUGCCUAGAGUAAAGCUGAAGUGGGCGGAAUGUGUUGUGUAGCGGUAAAAUGCUUAGAUAUAACACAGAACACCAAUCGCGAAGGCAGCUCACUAAACUUUAACUGACGCUCAUGCACGAAAGCGUGGGGAGCAAACAGGAUUAGAUACCCUGGUAGUCA
rnacentral:rRNA from 1 species